AACAGUCAACUCAGAACUGGCACGGACCGGGGGAAUCCGCACUGUGCUAAUUAAAACAAAGCAUUGCGAUGGCCGCUGGUCGGUGUUGACGCAAUGUGAUUUCUGCCCAGUGCUCUGAAUGUCAACGUGAAGAGAUUCAUCAAAGCGCGGGUAAACGGCGGGAGUAACUAUGACUCUCUUUAGUGAAGUAAAGUCCGGGGGACUUGGCGUUCCCUGCCUCAGAACAGCUGUACCAGGUCUGCAGCUGGCCAGGUUCGGGCGACUGCAAACAUCCGAUCAGCCCACCUGUGCCCAGGUUGCCCGCUGCCGCCUUAUAAAGGAGGCAAUAAGGCAUGCGGAGCACUUGUCCAUUUAUAAAGGCACAGAGCUGCGGACCAGAGACGCAUGCUUCAAGUUCUGGGCAGGGGAGCUGCAUCGGAGUGCCGACGGUGCAGCUCUGGCAGAAUGUAAGAGGGUUCCCUACGCCCAGAGCUGGGUUGCCGAAGCCCCCGUUCUGCUCCCCGGAACGCAAAUUCUUUGACCUUGUAAAGCUGAGGGUAAACGCCAUGCCAAACCGUGCGCGUACCAAGCGCGGCCCAGAGUGGAGACACGAUGUGUAGGGCGGGAUGUAACACCACUGAGAGUCUUGGGCACAUCCUGCAGCGCUGCCACCGCACUGACUCCACACGUAUACGGAGACACGACAAUAUAGUCGGUUACGUCGCUCGGCGCCUG
rnacentral:ncRNA from 1 species